UGGGCUUGACAUGCACGGGAAAGCCGGUGGAAACAUCGGCCCCUCUUCGGAGUCCGUGCACAGGUGCUGCAUGGCUGUCGUCAGCUCGUGUCGUGAGAUGUUGGGUUAAGUCCCGCAACGAGCGCAACCCUCGCCCUUAGUUGCCAUCAUUCAGUUGGGCACUCUAAGGGGACUGCCGGUGAUAAGCUGCGAGGAAGGUGGGGAUGACGUAAGCCUAUCGAGA
rnacentral:misc_RNA from 1 species